rnacentral:rRNA from 1 species
UCAGACGAUGCGUCAUGCAUAUCAAUAAGCGGAGGAAAAGAAACUAACAAGGAUCCCCUUAGUAACGGCGAGUGAAGCGGGAAGAGCUCAAAUUUGAAAUCUUCAAGGUUUUACCUUGACGAAUUGUAGUUUAAAGAAGUGUUUUCUGUUGAAGUUUUGGUAAAAGUUCUUUGGAAUAGGACAUCAUAGAGGGUGAGAAUCCCGUAUUUGACCAUUAUUUUCAGCUGUGUGAUACACUUUCAAAGAGUCGGAUUGUUUGGGAAUGCAGUCCAAAAUGGGUGGUAAAUUUCAUCUAAAGCUAAAUAUUGGCGAGAGACCGAUAGCGAACAAGUACCGUGAGGGAAAGAUGAAAAGAACUUUGAAAAGAGAGUUAAACAGUACGUGAAAUUGUCAAAAGGGAAGCGUUUGACACCAGUGUUGUUUUCUCGAAAAUCAAUUAAAAAGAGUUGGAUUUUGUGUUGUAUUGACCUUAACAGCUUGCUUCACUCUUUUCCUGCUUUUUUUAAUGCACUUUUCGUUUAACAAGUCAACAUCAGUUUCUUUUGUUGUAAAAGGGUCAUUGGAAGGUGGCUUUCUCUUCGGAGAAAGUGUUUAUAGCCUUUGAUCUCUGCAAUCGGAGAGACUGAGGUCUGCAGCGUAGAUCCUUCGGGGUUAGAUACAUUUGUGCUAAGUUAUAGCCUUUUCAUAGACAACUUGUUGACUAUGAUCAGUCAUGUAACUUACUCGCUUAUGCUAUUUUACCUACGCUUAGGAUGUUGAUAUGCAUGACUGAUAU